rnacentral:rRNA from 1 species
AUGUCGUCGUCGUCGUCGGCGGCGGAACAGCAUGGCCACCAUGCCGUAGGCGGCCGCGAGCUAGUGCCGCUCGCGGCUCUCAUAAAGGAGGAGUCCCGCACCGAGCGGCACGCCGUCACUCGGAGCAGGAUCUGCGCGCGUGAGGAUGGAGGAGUAGGAGGGGAAGUUGGGGAGGCGGAGACGCGGCGGCCACUGCUACGGUAUGGGUGCGCCGCGCAGUCCAAGAAGGGGGAGGACUUCUUCCUACUCAGGACCGACUGCGCGCGCCCCUCUACUUCCUCGUCCUCUUCGACCACCUCGCAUCCCCCCACCUUCGCGGUUUUCGCCGUUCUUGACGGGCAUAACGGCGAUGCCGCUGCAAUAUAUACAAGGGACAAUCUGCUCAACCAUGUCCUGAGCGCGAUGCCACAGGGUCUUUCGCGGGAGGAGUGGUUGCAUUCUCUGCCCCGUGCGCUUGUCGCGGGAUUCGUCAAGACCGACAAGGAAUUCCAAACCAAAGGCCAAACUUCGGGCACAACUGCCACAUUUGCGAUAAUCGAUGGCUGGACUAUCACUGUUGCUUCAGUUGGCGAUUCUCGCUGUAUUUUGGAUGCUCAGGGUGGGGCUGUUUCUUUGCUUACAGUUGAUCACCGACUAGAAGAAAAUGUCGAGGAGAGGGAGCGUGUCACAGCGAGUGGAGGUGAAGUUGGAAGGCUUAGUGUGGUUGGUGGAGCAGAGAUUGGUCCACUGCGAUGCUGGCCAGGAGGUUUGUGCCUAUCCAGAUCCAUUGGAGACAUAGAUGUUGGUGAAUUUAUCGUACCUGUUCCUUAUGUCAAGCAAGUGAAGUUGUCAAAUACUGGUGGGAGGCUUAUUAUUGCUUCAGACGGCAUUUGGGAUGCAUUGUCUUCAGAUGCAGCUGCAAAGUGUUGCAGAGGGUUGCCUGCUGAACUCGCUGCCAAGCAAGUAGUUAAGGAGGCACUCAAGACAAGGGGCCUAAAAGAUGACACGACAUGUGUCGUUGUUGACAUAAUCCCACCUGAUCAAACGAUACGCCCUCUAUCUCCACCGAAAAAGAUGAAUAAGUUGAAGUCCCUGAUUUUUAGGAAAAAAGCAAAGGACCAGCCCAAUAAAUUGACUAAGCAGCUUUCUUCAGUGGGUAUGGUUGAAGAGAUAUUUGAAGAAGGUUCAGCGAUACUAUCAGAGAGGUUGGGUAAUGACUCAGGUAGUCGGAGAACAUCGUCAAGCUUGUUUACAUGUGCCAUCUGCCAGGCAGAUCUUGAACCAAGUGAAGGUACAUCAGUUCAUGUAGGUUCAGUAUUCUCUUCGAGCUCUAAGCCAUGGGAAGGCCCUUUCCUUUGUUCUGAUUGCCGCGACAAGAAGGAUGCCAUGGAAGGUAAACGACCGAGUGGCGUGAAAGUUCUGUGA